rnacentral:rRNA from 1 species
UACGAAGGGUGCAAACGUUGCUCGGAAUUACUGGGCGUAAAGCGUGCGCAGGCGGUUAUGCAAGACAGAUGUGAAAUCCCCGGGCUCAACCUGGGAACUGCAUUUGUGACUGCAUGGCUGGAGUGCGGCAGAGGGGGAUGGAAUUCCGCGUGUAGCAGUGAAAUGCGUAGAUAUGCGGAGGAACACCGAUGGCGAAGGCAAUCCCCUGGGCCUGCACUGACGCUCAUGCACGAAAGCGUGGGGAGCAAACAGG